rnacentral:rRNA from 1 species
GCCAGCAGUCAUAUCACUCUGCAACUCACAACUGGCAACCCACUGAAGCUCAGCAGGUUUGAGCCUGGUCAGUACUUGGAUGUGAGACCUCCUGGGAAAAACUAAGGUUGCUGCUGGAA